rnacentral:rRNA from 1 species
UUAAGCGACUAAGCGUACACGGUGGAUGCCCUGGCAGUCAGAGGCGAUGAAGGACGUGCUAAUCUGCGAAAAGCGUCGGUAAGGUGAUAUGAACCGUUAUAACCGGCGAUGUCCGAAUGGGGAAACCCAGUGCAAUUCGUUGCACUAUCGUUAACUGAAUACAUAGGUUAACGAGGCGAACCGGGGGAACUGAAACAUCUAAGUACCCCGAGGAAAAGAAAUCAACCGAGAUUCCCCCAGUAGCGGCGAGCGAACGGGGAGCAGCCCAGAGUCUGAAUCAGCUUGUGUGUUAGUGGAACGGUCUGGAAAGUCCGACGGUACAGGGUGAUAGUCCCGUACACCAAAAUGCACAGGUUGUGAACUCGAAGAGUAGGGCGGGACACGUGGUAUCCUGUCUGAAUAUGGGGGGACCAUCCUCCAAGGCUAAAUACUCCUGACUGACCGAUAGUGAACCAGUACCGUGAGGGAAAGGCGAAAAGAACCCCGGCGAGGGGAGUGAAAAAGAACCUGAAACCGUGUACGUACAAGCAGUGGGAGCACCUUCGGGUGUGACUGCGUACCUUUUGUAUAAUGGGUCAGCGACUUAUAUUCUGUAGCAAGGUUAACCGUAUAGGGGAGCCGCAGGGAAACCGAGUCUUAACUGGGCGUUAAGUUGCAGGGUAUAGACCCGAAACCCGGUGAUCUAGCCAUGGGCAGGUUGAAGGUUGGGUAACACUAACUGGAGGACCGAACCGACUAAUGUUGAAAAAUUAGCGGAUGACUUGUGGCUGGGGGUGAAAGGCCAAUCAAACCGGGAGAUAGCUGGUUCUCCCCGAAAGCUAUUUAGGUAGCGCCUCGUGAACUCAUCUUCGGGGGUAGAGCACUGUUUCGGCUAGGGGGUCAUCCCGACUUACCAACCCGAUGCAAACUACGAAUACCGAAGAAUGUUAUCACGGGAGACACACGGCGGGUGCUAACGUCCGUCGUGAAGAGGGAAACAACCCAGACCGCCAGCUAAGGUCCCAAAGUCAUGGUUAAGUGGGAAACGAUGUGGGAAGGCACAGACAGCCAGGAUGUUGGCUUAGAAGCAGCCAUCAUUUAAAGAAAGCGUAAUAGCUCACUGGUCGAGUCGGCCUGCGCGGAAGAUGUAACGGGGCUAAACCAUGCACCGAAGCUGCGGCAGCGACACUAUGUGUUGUUGGGUAGGGGAGCGUUCUGUAAGCCUGCGAAGGUGGCCUGUGAGGGUUGCUGGAGGUAUCAGAAGUGCGAAUGCUGACAUAAGUAACGAUAAAGCGGGUGAAAAGCCCGCUCGCCGGAAGACCAAGGGUUCCUGUCCAACGUUAAUCGGGGCAGGGUGAGUCGACCCCUAAGGCGAGGCCGAAAGGCGUAGUCGAUGGGAAACAGGUUAAUAUUCCUGUACUUGGUGUUACUGCGAAGGGGGGACGGAGAAGGCUAUGUUAGCCGGGCGACGGUUGUCCCGGUUUAAGCAUGUAGGCUGGUUAUCCAGGCAAAUCCGGAUAAUCAAGGCUGAGGUGUGAUGACGAGGCACUACGGUGCUGAAGUAACAAAUGCCCUGCUUCCAGGAAAAGCCUCUAAGCAUCAGGUAACAUCAAAUCGUACCCCAAACCGACACAGGUGGUCAGGUAGAGAAUACCAAGGCGCUUGAGAGAACUCGGGUGAAGGAACUAGGCAAAAUGGUGCCGUAACUUCGGGAGAAGGCACGCUGGUGUGUAGGUGAAGCCCCUGCGGGUGGAGCUGAGACCAGUCGAAGAUACCAGCUGGCUGCAACUGUUUAUUAAAAACACAGCACUGUGCAAACACGAAAGUGGACGUAUACGGUGUGACGCCUGCCCGGUGCCGGAAGGUUAAUUGAUGGGGUUAUCCGUAAGGAGAAGCUCUUGAUCGAAGCCCCGGUAAACGGCGGCCGUAACUAUAACGGUCCUAAGGUAGCGAAAUUCCUUGUCGGGUAAGUUCCGACCUGCACGAAUGGCGUAAUGAUGGCCAGGCUGUCUCCACCCGAGACUCAGUGAAAUUGAACUCGCUGUGAAGAUGCAGUGUACCCGCGGCAAGACGGAAAGACCCCGUGAACCUUUACUAUAGCUUGACACUGAACAUUGAGCCUUGAUGUGUAGGAUAGGUGGGAGGCUUUGAAGCGUGGACGCCAGUCUGCGUGGAGCCAACCUUGAAAUACCACCCUUUAAUGUUUGAUGUUCUAACGUUGGCCCCUUACCGGGGUUGCGGACAGUGUCUGGUGGGUAGUUUGACUGGGGCGGUCUCCUCCCAAAGCGUAACGGAGGAGCACGAAGGUUAGCUAAUCCUGGUCGGACAUCAGGAGGUUAGUGCAAUGGCAUAAGCUAGCUUGACUGCGAGCGUGACGGCGCGAGCAGGUGCGAAAGCAGGUCAUAGUGAUCCGGUGGUUCUGAAUGGAAGGGCCAUCGCUCAACGGAUAAAAGGUACUCCGGGGAUAACAGGCUGAUACCGCCCAAGAGUUCAUAUCGACGGCGGUGUUUGGCACCUCGAUGUCGGCUCAUCACAUCCUGGGGCUGAAGUAGGUCCCAAGGGUAUGGCUGUUCGCCAUUUAAAGUGGUACGCGAGCUGGGUUUAGAACGUCGUGAGACAGUUCGGUCCCUAUCUGCCGUGGGCGCUGGAGAAUUGAGGGGGGCUGCUCCUAGUACGAGAGGACCGGAGUGGACGCAUCACUGGUGUUCGGGUUGUCAUGCCAAUGGCACUGCCCGGUAGCUAAAUGCGGAAGAGAUAAGUGCUGAAAGCAUCUAAGCACGAAACUUGCCCCGAGAUGAGUUCUCCCUGAGACUUUAAGUCUCCUGAAGGAACGUUAAAGACGAUGACGUUGAUAGGCCGGGUGUGUAAGCGCAGCGAUGCGUUGAGCUAACCGGUACUAAUGAACCGUGAGGCUUAACCU